UGUGUGAUUGCUGAUGAGUAUUUGCUUCAGGUUGGGGGGCUGUCUGUAAGUGAGGACUGGUCUGUCUCCCAAGAUCUGUGAGCGUGAGGGAUUGUCCUUCAGGAUAGGUUGUAGAUCUUUGAUGAUGUGCUGGAGAGGUUUUAGUUGGAGGCUGAAGGUGAUGGCUAGUGGCGUUCUGUUAUUUUCUUUGUUGGGCCUGUCUUGUAGUAGGUGACUUCUGGGUACUCUUCUGGCUUUGUCAAUCUGUUUUUCACAUCAGCAGGUGGGUACUGUAGUUUUAAGAAUGCUUGAUAGAGAUCAAUAAAAUGGACACAAAUACUCUUGUUCUUUUUGCAGAUACAGACUAACAUGGCUGCUACUCUAAAAUCCUCUACAAGAAUCAGCUGGAAGUGUUGGAGAACUAAGUGAGAGAUGGAGGCCAGAUGACCAGGUCAAUCUCCUGGUUGUCACUCAAGUUGCCGCUGUUGGAAAGUUUAGCUGAAAAAAUGCCUGCACAUCUAUUGAAAUCCUGGUACUGGUGAGUGAGAGACAUGUUCAUGCACUCUGGAAUAAUCUCCACUUAGCUCGCAUGCAUAGCAUGUUGGGGAGAGCACAAAAGAUUCCACUGUGUGUUAACAUGUGUGAUUUAGUUU
rnacentral:lncRNA from 1 species